rnacentral:rRNA from 1 species
UACGUAGGGGGCUAGCGUUGUCCGGAAUCAUUGGGCGUAAAGCGCGUGUAGGCGGCCCGGUAAGUCCGCUCUGAAAGUCGGGGGCUCAACCCUCGGAUGCGGGUGGAUACUGUCGGGCUUGAGUGCGGAAGAGGCGAGUGGAAUUCCUGGUGUAGCGGUGAAAUGCGCAGAUAUCAGGAGGAACACCAGUGGCGAAGGCGGCUCACUGGCCCGAUACUGACGCUGAGGUGCGAAAGCGUGGGGAGCAAACAGG